GUUGAAACACCAGUUCCCAUACAAUCACCAAAGUUAAGCAAUGUUGAGCCUGGUCAGUACCUAGAUGGGUGACAGCUUGAAUGUGCAGGUGGUGUA